AGGGUCCAGAUCAGAGAGUUUGCUGUUCUUAGUUUCCACUUUCUGACAGUAUAUCAAUUUCAGGGUCGCCUUUCACCAAUCACUUCCACCCCUCCCUCUGAUUGUGCUUCAUCAAAAGGACAGA